rnacentral:rRNA from 1 species
ACGGAUCGUCGGCCCCGCGCCGGCGACUCGCCGAAUGAGUUCUGACCUAUCAACUCGAGACGGCGGGGUAGAGGCCGCCGCGGUAACGACGGGUAACGGGGAAGUCAGGGUUCGAUUCCGGAGAGGGAGCCCGAGAAACGGCUACCACUUCCAAGGAAGGCAGCAGGCGCGCAAUUACCCUAAUCUCGAUUCGAGGAGGUAGUGACAAGAAAUACCGAUGCGGGACCCUACGGGUGCCGCGUUCGGAAUGAGUACGAUUCGAACCACCUAACGAGGAACGAUCGGAGGGCAAGUCUGGUGCCAGCAGCCGCGGUAAUUCCAGCUCCAAUAGCGUACGUUAAAAGUUGCUGCAGUUAAAAAGCUCGUAGUUGAACGUUCGGGUUCCGCGGGACGGGGCCGCCCCGCGAGGGACGGCGCCGCCCCGGGGCUCGUGAUAUCUCAUCUCGCCGCCCGUCGCGAGGCGGACGGAGGGAUGGAUGAGGUUACCUGGAAAAAAUCGGGGCGAUCUAGGCGGGCGAACCUCGCCAACGAACGAUCGGACAUGGG